rnacentral:rRNA from 1 species
UACGUAGGGUGCAGGCGUUGUCCGGAUUCAUUGGGCGUAAAGAGCUCGUAGGCGGCUUUGUAAGUCGGGUGUGAAAACCCCAGGCUCAACCUGGGGACGCCACUCGAUACUGCAAUAGCUAGAGUUUGGUAGGGGAUCACGGAAUUCCUGGUGUAGCGGUGAAAUGCGCAGAUAUCAGGAGGAACACCAGUGGCGGAGGCGGUGAUCUGGGCCAAUACUGACGCUGAGGAGCGAAAGCGUGGGGAGUAAACAGG